GGGGACCUUCGGGGCCCUCUCUCGAACCGACGGGUCCCAAGGACCCGCGAAGCACAACGGAAGACAGGAA
rnacentral:ncRNA from 1 species